GAGAUGACUACAGUCAGCAACUUUGCAGGAACCGGGAGCUGAAAGUUCACCAUGUUUGGGCAGUGGUCCGCUGGAUACUCUUCUGUGCUCUGGUUUUUUGCACAGUUUCCAUACAUUGCAUGACAGCUUUUCAAAGACAAGCUGACAGGACAGUCCACAAAAAGC